AAAAAAUAUAAAAUUUAGGUAGUAGUAGAUGGCUUGAAACUUAAAAAUUUUGGCGGUAUUUUAAUCUUAUCAGAGGAAUCUGUUUUGUAAUCGAUAAUACACGGCAAAUCUUACUUAAAUAAAAAGUUUGUAUAUCGUUGUGAUAAUAAUGUUUUAUAAUUAUUAUUGAAUAUAAUUUUAUUUUAUAUAUCAGAUCAAGGUUCAGCUUAUAUUUGAGUGAAAAAUGGGUUACAAUAUGAAAACAUAAUUACGGAUUUUAUCUUUAAAAGAUAAAUGAAGGUGGAUUUGGAAGUAUUCUUAUAAUAAUCUAUUAAGUUGAAAUAGCUCUAAAAUAUGC
rnacentral:rRNA from 1 species